rnacentral:rRNA from 1 species
GACGUAGGGCGCGAGCGUUGUCCGGAUUUAUUGGGCGUAAAGAGCUCGUAGGCGGCUUGUCGCGUCGACCGUGAAAACUCGCAGCUCAACUGCGAGCCUGCGGUCGAUACGGGCAGGCUAGAGUUCGGUAGGGGAGACUGGAAUUCCUGGUGUAGCGGUGAAAUGCGCAGAUAUCAGGAGGAACACCGAUGGCGAAGGCAGGUCUCUGGGCCGAUACUGACGCUGAGACGCGAAAGCGUGGGGAGCGAACAGG